UACGUAGGUGGCAAGCGUUGUCCGGAUUCACUGGGUGUAAAGGGUGCGCAGGCGGAUUGGCAAGUCAGAGGUGAAAUCUCACGGCUUAACCGUGAAACUGCCUCUGAUACUGCUAAUCUUGAGUUAGGGAGAGGUUGAUGGAAUUCCAGGUGUAGCGGUGAAAUGCGUAGAUAUCUGGAAGAACACCAGUGGCGAAGGCGGUCAACUGGCCCUUAACUGACGCUCAUGCACGAAAGCGUGGGUAGCGAACAGG
rnacentral:rRNA from 1 species